rnacentral:lncRNA from 1 species
UCCGACUAAGAAACUCAAAUCUGACUAGAGUCAGAUGGAAUGCUUCUACUACAAGAAGUAGCGGUACUGAAAAAGGAACUAUCCUCAAUAUAUUGCCUCUCUGGAUCCGAGCAAGUCGAGAAAGAAACAAGUUGUUGCUGGACAAGGUAAUUAUAUGAUAACAUCUUGUAAUUUUUUAAUUUGUGAUUCUACUAUCUGGAUAUUAGAUACCAAAAACUCUUUUAAUAUUUGUAAUUUGUUGUAGGGUUUACAAGUCAGUAGG